rnacentral:rRNA from 1 species
UAGGGAAUCUUCCACAAUGGACGCAAGUCUGAUGGAGCAACGCCGCGUGAGUGAAGAAGGUUUUCGGAUCGUAAAGCUCUGUUGUUGGUGAAGAAGGAUAGAGGCAGUAACUGGUCUUUAUUUGACGGUAAUCAACCAGAAAGUCACGGCUAACUACGUGCCAGCAGCCGCGGUAAUACGUAGGUGGCAAGCGUUGGCCGGAUUUAUUGGGCGUAAAGCGAGCGCAGGCGGAAUGAUAAGUCUGAUGUGAAAGCCCACGGCUCAACCGUGGAACUGCAUCGGAAACUGUCAUUCUUGAGUGCAGAAGAGGAGAGUGGAAUUCCAUGUGUAGCGGUGGAAUGCGUAGAUAUAUGGAAGAACACCAGUGGCGAAGGCGGCUCUCUGGUCUGCAACUGACGCUGAGGCUCGAAAGCAUGGGUAGCGAACAGG